AGUGAACGCUGGCGGUAGGCCUAACACAUGCAAGUCGAGCGGAAAGGCCCUUUCGGGGGUACUCGAGCGGCGAACGGGUGAGUAACACGUGAGUAAUCUGCCCCUGGCUUUGGGAUAGCCACCGGAAACGGUGAUUAAUACCGGAUACGACCACUUCUCGCAUGGGAUGGUGGUGGAAAGUUUUUCGGCCAGGGAUGUGCUCGCGGCCUAUCAGCUUGAUGGUGAGGUAAUGGCUCACCAUGGCUUCGACGGGUAGCCGGCCUGAGAGGGUGACCGGUCACACUGGGACUGAGACACGGCCCAGACUCCUACGGGAGGCAGCAGUGGGGAAUAUUGGACAAUGGGCGGAAGCCUGAUCCAGCAACGCCGCGUGAGGGAUGACGGCCUUCGGGUUGUAAACCUCAUUCAGCAGGGACGAAGCGCAAGUGACGGUACCUGCAGAAGAAGCACCGGCCAACUACGUGCCAGCCGCCGCCGUAA
rnacentral:rRNA from 1 species